rnacentral:rRNA from 1 species
GGGCGCACGGUGGAUGCCUUGACACUAGGAGUCGAUGAAGGACGGGACUAACGCCGAUAUGCUUCGGGGAGCUGUAAGUAAGCUUUGAUCCGAAGAUUUCCGAAUGGGGAAACCCACCAUACGUAAUGGUAUGGUAUCCUUAUCUGAAUACAUAGGGUAAGGAAGACAGACCCAGGGAACUGAAACAUCUAAGUACCUGGAGGAAGAGAAAGCAAAUGCGAUUUCCUGAGUAGCGGCGAGCGAAACGGAACAUAGCCCAAACCAAGAGGCUUGCCU